UCUCCGUUGGUGAACCAGCGGAGGGGUCAUUACCGAGUGCAAACUCAUAACCCUUUGUGAACCUAUAUCUGUUGCUUCGGCGGCUCGCUCUCGGGCGAGCCCGCCGGUAAUAUCAGUAUCUCUGUUUGAACCCGACGAUACUUCUGAGUGUUCUUAGCGAACAGUUAAAACUUUUAACAACGGAUCUCUUGGCUCUA
rnacentral:misc_RNA from 1 species